rnacentral:lncRNA from 1 species
ACCUUUUAAUUUACAUCAUGCAUGCAUAAAAUAUAAGCACUAAGAUCUACUUUAUAUGCUGAAAUUGAACAUAUGCUGAAAUUGAAUAUAUGAUUGAAUCACAUACCUAUUUUGCAAAUCUUUUCUUCAAAUCUAAAUCCAUAAGAGAAUAGAUUCUCUCUUAGCCAUGCAAGUACUCAACCUCUAUGAGUAUCCACUCA